GAUGAACGCUGGCGGCGUGCCUAAUACAUGCAAGUCGAGCGAACAGAUGAGGAGCUUGCUCCUCUGACGUUAGCGGCGGACGGGUGAGUAACACGUGGAUAACCUACCUAUAAGACUGGGAUAACUUCGGGAAACCGGAGCUAAUACCGGAUAAUAUAUUGAACCGCAUGGUUCAAUAGUGAAAGACGGUUUUGCUGUCACUUAUAGAUGGAUCCGCGCCGCAUUAGCUAGUUGGUAAGGUAACGGCUUACCAAGGCAACGAUGCGUAGCCGACCUGGGAGGGGGAUCGGCCACACUGCAACUGAGACACGGGCCAGACUCCUACGGGAGGCAGCAGUAGGGAAUCUUCCGCAAUGGGCGAAAGCCUGACGGAGCAACGCCGCGUGAGUGAUGAAGGUCUUCGGAUCGUAAAGCUCUGUUAUUAGGGAAGAACAAAUGUGUAAGUAACUAUGCACGUCUUGACGGUACCUAAGCAGAAAGCCACGGCUAACUACGUG
rnacentral:rRNA from 1 species